GCCUGGGUGGCUUGGUCGGUUAAGCGUCUGACUUUGGCUCAGGUCAUGAUCUCGCGGUCCGUGAGUUCAAGCCCCACAUCGGGCU
rnacentral:tRNA from 1 species